rnacentral:rRNA from 1 species
UACGUAGGGUGCAAGCGUUUGUCCGGAAUUAUUGGGCGUAAAGAGUUCGUAGGCGGUCUGUCGCGUCGGUCGUGAAAACUUGGGGCUUAACCCUGAGCUUGCGGUCGAUACGGGCAUGACUGGAGUUCGGCAGGGGAGACUGGAAUUCCUGGUGUAGCGGUGAAAUGCGCAGAUAUCAGGAGGAACACCGGUGGCGAAGGCGGUUCUCUGGGCAUGAUCUGACGCUGAGGAGCGAAAGUGUGGGGAGCGAACAGG